rnacentral:rRNA from 1 species
CAGUGGGGAAUCUUGCGCAAUGCGCGAAAGCGUGACGCAGCAACGCCGCGUGGGGGAAGACGGCCUUCGGGUUGUAAACCCCUUUCAGGAGGGACGAAGGUUCACCGGUUAAUAGCCGUGUGGAUUGACGGUACCUCCACAAGAAGCUCCGGCUAACUACGUGCCAGCAGCCGCGGUAAUACGUAGGGAGCAAGCGUUGUCCGGAAUCAUUGGGCGUAAAGCGCGCGUAGGUGGCCAUGUAAGUCCGCUGUGAAAGUCGAAGGCUCAACCUUCGAAAGCCGGUGGAUACUGCAUGGCUAGAGUACGGAAGAGGCGAGUGGAAUUCCUGGUGUAGCGGUGGAAUGCGCAGAUAUCAGGAGGAACACCAAUAGCGAAGGCAGCUCGCUGGGACGUUACUGACACUGAGGCGCGAAAGCGUGGGGAGCGAACAGGAUUAGA